rnacentral:lncRNA from 1 species
AGAGGAGGAGGACAAAGGCGUCCUCAAUGACUUCCACAAGUGCAUCUAUAAGGGAAGGUCUGUUUCUCUAACAACUUUUUAUCGAACAGCGAGGAAUAUCAUGAGCAUGUGUUUCAGCAAGGAGCCUGCCCCAGCCGAAAUCGAGUGCCCAGCUGAGUCCGUGUGAACUUCCAGCUGCUGACGUCGGUGGGCUCUCAGCAGCGCUUGGUCGUGGAAAGGGAAAGAAACCAAACCCGGACUGCUGGUUCAGGGCAGCUGCCGGCCGGGGAACAGGAGCAAGAGUACUGGAGGCUAGUGGAAGAGAAGGACUGCCACGUGGCAGUGCACUGCGGCAAGGUGGACACCAACACUCACGGCAGUGGAUUCCCAGUAGGAAAAUCAGAACCCUUUUCGAGGCAUGGAUGGAACCUCACCGUCCUCCCCAAUAACACAGGGUCCAUCCUGCGUCACCUCGGUGCUGUGCCUGGAGUGACUAUUCCCUGGCUAAAUAUUGGCAUGGUCUUUUCUACCUCAUGCUGGU